CUUAUACUGGAUUAGUGACCAGAACUUUGGUAAGUAGAUUUCACCAAACUAAUUCCUGCAUGUUUUAUGGUGUUCCAAAUUUUGCCUCUCAUUUUGUACUUGAGUUUACUGCAUACUGCAUAUCUGAAAAAAAUUGGUUACCUAUUGAUUUACCUUGUAUAUUCCACUGCAACAGCUUGAAGAGGAGUUGCAAGGUCCUGUGU
rnacentral:misc_RNA from 1 species